GGGUGCAAUUUGCCGGCUAGAGGCAGGGACCUCCCACCCCCGGCUCGGCUCUCCUUCCCCCGGCCCGGGUGCAGCCCGCGGUACGUACCUGGCAAAGUCUGGCCAGAGCGCUCACUUGCAUGGAGACCGUCGGGAAAGGCGGAGAGAUGGGAGCCACUGAGAAAGCCAGCCCCGAGCCAAGGGGCCAGAGCUACCGGGGCUUCCCCCUCCGCCGCCAAGCACCACCAGCAACAAGUUCCAGGGUGGGGGGAGGAAGCAGCGUAAUCGCGCCUGGCAAGUUAAUGCAGCGCGUCUUUCCCGAGGAGCAGAGCUUGCGGCGGGGUGGCCCCUGUCAGGAGGGAGUCGCGCCGCUGCCCAUGCCGCCGGGCUGCUGAGGGGCUGCAGAUGGCCGCGGACUGGAUGGGGAAGACGCACUGGCGAGGCAGAGGGCACAGCAGGGUUUCUCUCUCCUGCCCCUCCAGUGGGUGGGCCAUGCCUCGCCAAGCUGGGAGAGGAGCGACUGCUGCUGCGGCUGCAGGUUGUUAUUUUCCAGGCGGCUGCUUCUCCUUUCCGCUCCUGCAAAUGCCACCGAAGGAAGCAGCCCGACGAGGUGGCGUGAAGGAGGAGGACAUCGAUCCGAGAGAGGAACAAAGAGAAUUACAAAUCGUUACACGCCGGGUUGCGGUGCAGGCGAGGACAUGGGAUACACUGGUGUAGAUCUAGACCGAUUGCACUGACACUGACAUUAGAGGAACCACACUGAGACCUAUAACUGAGGUG
rnacentral:lncRNA from 1 species